rnacentral:rRNA from 1 species
UACGUAGGUGGCGAGCGUUGUCCGGAUUUACUGGGCGUAAAGGGAGCGUAGGCGGACUUUUAAGUGAGAUGUGAAAUAUUCGGGCUCAAUUUGAGUGCUGCAUUUCAAACUGGAAGUCUAGAGUGCAGGAGAGGAGAAUGGAAUUCCUAGUGUAGCGGUGAAAUGCGUAGAGAUUAGGAAGAACACCAGUGGCGAAGGCGAUUCUCUGGACUGUAACUGACGCUGAGGCUCGAAAGCGUGGGGAGCAAACAGG